rnacentral:miRNA from 1 species
AAGUGCUGGCUUUUUGACGUU